rnacentral:tRNA from 1 species
GGUUGUGGCUCAGUGGUAGAGGGCUUGCCUAGCACGUGUGAGGCACUGGGUUUGAUCCUCAGAACCA